rnacentral:rRNA from 1 species
GAUGAACGCUGGCGGCACGCCUUACACAUGCAAGUCGAACGGCAGCACGGGUGCUUGCACCUGGUGGCGAGUGGCGAACGGGUGAGUAAUACAUCGGAACGUACCUUAUCGUGGGGGAUAACGCAGCGAAAGCUGUGCUAAUACCGCAUACGCCCUGAGGGGGAAAGCGGGGGAUCGAAAGACCCCGCGCGAUUAGAGCGGCCGAUGCCUGAUUAGCUUGUUGGUGGGGUAAAAGCCCACCAAGGAGACGAUCAGUAGCUGGUCUGAGAGGACGAUCAGCCGCACUGGGACUGAGACACGGCCCAGACUCCUACGGGAGGCAGCAGUGGGGAAUUUUGGACAAUGGGGCAACCCUGAUCCAGCAAUGCCGCGUGAGUGAAGAAGGCCUUCGGGUUGUAAAGCUCUUUUGUCAGGGAAGAAACAGCAGCUCUAACACAGUCUGCGAAUGACGGUACCUGAAGAAUAAGCACCGGCUAACUACGUGCCAGCAGCCGCCGUAA